AGGGCAGGCCUUUCUCUCUGUCCCUGGUGCCUGGACUUGUCCAGCCAGGAAGAAGAAAGCUGUGCGGGUGCAGCCGCCUCACCAUGAGCCCUGGUCCAAGUCCGCAGCUGCUUUGUUGUUUUGUUUUUUCCCCACUGCUGGCUAAGCUACUCUGAAAGCCAGAAAGUUUCUCCUUGAUGUACAGUUAGUAGGCACUGCACACAUGCACAGACCAUGGAAAUUACACAUGUGUGGUUGUUGGCCGCGGUUUUCAUGUGGUUCAAGACUUGUUGGUACAGGUUGUGGGGGACGGAUGCCUCCUGCCCCCCCUUUAUUUCUGGGCUUGCUUAGGUUUUUGCAUCCGACCUGCAGGUGUGUACUGAAUGUGUACUUAGGCUUUAGCACUCCUACAGGCAGGUUGAACUGAGCUGCAGUUACUAUUUAAAACCAUUAUUCAAACCUUGUCACCCUCUGCCACCCUCUCCACCCCUUAAAGAGUCCCUGAUGGUCCCCAGUGGCCUUAUAAAUGGCCGUUUGGAUUUUCACCGCUCCCAAGGCUUCACAACAAUCUUCCAAGGCUGAGGAGAAGGGGGAACGUUCGCUAAACAAGGACAGAACCAAAGAGAAGGAAAGCAGGACCCCAGCCUCUCUUUUUCUCCUCCCCUGGCGUCCUCUGCAACUUUCUGCUGCCUUCCAACUUCCUAACCCCUUCCCUCCAAGUCAAGAAAGGGUCUGGCUUCUUCCCCCUGUCCGGCUGGGAAGGUGACAGGUUCUGACUCCACAGAAGAGGACACGGGAGCUCUGCGCGGGCCCCUCCCAGACCUCUCAUCCUGGGCGUCUCGUCUUUUGGCUCCUCCUGAUUUGUGGCCCUUUUUGCUAUAAAUAAAACGGUCAUCAGGAGUCUUGCACUUUCCUGAGCUCUCUAAGUUGUUCUGGCAAAUUAUCGAACCUAAGAGGGUGGUGGGAUUC